rnacentral:rRNA from 1 species
UACGUAGGUGGCAAGCGUUAUCCGGAAUUAUUGGGCGUAAAGCGCGCGCAGGUGGUUUCUUAAGUCUGAUGUGAAAGCCCACGGCUCAACCGUGGAGGGUCAUUGGAAACUGGGAGACUUGAGUGCAGAAGAGGAAAGUGGAAUUCCAUGUGUAGCGGUGAAAUGCGUAGAGAUAUGGAGGAACACCAGUGGCGAAGGCGACUUUCUGGUCUGUAACUGACGCUGAGGAGCGAAAGCGUGGGGAGCGAACAGG